GGUCGAUCUGCUUUGUUGGCUGGGUGGACUUGUAAGGCUUUUUCGUUCGGAGACCUCCGAAUCGGGCAGCCCAGAGCCGCCUGGACCCCACUCCAGGUCUUCUCCCUUGCUGUGCCCCUGGACAUCCC
rnacentral:lncRNA from 1 species